GCAAAAGGGAGCUCCUCUUCAUCAGGAGCAAAUCAAUCAGAUUCUAUAAUGAUCCCAAACUAAUUUUUUAGUCUGAAACUAUAGGGGGAAAAAAAUCCCUAUUCUUAUAAUAAAUUGAGAACUUCAGUCAGUUUUUGUCUGAAUACAAGUAAAGUUUUUUAACUUUUAACAAAGACAUGAAAUUGUUUUCCAUGUUAGAUUUGCAAAAGUAUUACAAAAAUAAAUGAUACAAAAAAAAUGAGGUUCCUCACCAUUUCACAGUAUUCAAAAACAAGCAGGAAGGGAAUGGCCUCAACGCACUGCCCCAGACACUGGAGGAUGUUGGGAUGCUCCAAAAACUCUGUAUGGAUCUCCCUGUUGCAAGAAAUCAUUCUGCUCCUUGGCGUUUGCAUUUGCUUUUAACUCCUUCACCACCACUCUGGCUCCACCUGGAUCUGUGUACAUUUCACUAAGAAGCACCUGAAUGAACAAAUGAUCAAGAAAGAUGGAGGAAAAAGAGAGGUGAGUUUUAUAUAGUUUGAGCAUUUGUUCCUGUAAAUCUGAUCAGAUUUUCAUUUCUCUCCUACAAGCUUUAGAAUAAUUGUUCGUACCUGGCCGAACCAGCCAUUUCCAAUCUCCUGGAUGUAACUCAAGCUGUGACGUGCCACCUGGGAGUCUGUAGAUGGUUCUGUAAAAGCACAAAGUUCCAAAUUAUGCAAAAGCAUAAAGUUCAUAAGCCUUUAUGGUGCGAAACCUGACCUACAGCUGGUACACAUGCAUUGUGUUUGAGUGUAUUUCCGACCUGUGAUGCUGGCCAGAGGUUGCAGGUGUGGCGGUCCAGGCAGGGGAACAGGAGAGACGGCGAGGGUGUACACCUCAGCGGGCGAUUGCAUAGAAGGUGUGUCUUCCGCUGGUGGAGUGAAGUCGAUUUCAUCAUCAAAGUGAUCUUCAAACUCCUAGUGGGGGAAAAAUGACAACCACAUAUUAAGAUCAUAAAAUAUUUAUUCAGGCUGGAUUAUAAAGAAACCCUAUGGAAGUUUGUAAUUGAAC
rnacentral:lncRNA from 1 species